UACGAAGGGGGCUAGCGUUGCUCGGAAUCACUGGGCGUAAAGCGCACGUAGGCGGAUUGCUAAGUCAGGGGUGAAAUCCUGGAACUCAACUCCAGAACUGCCUUUGAUACUGGCGAUCUCGAGUCCGGGAGAGGUGAGUGGAACUGCGAGUGUAGAGGUGAAAUUCGUAGAUAUUCGCAAGAACACCAGUGGCGAAGGCGGCUCACUGGCCCGGUACUGACGCUGAGGUGCGAAAGCGUGGGGAGCAAACAGG
rnacentral:rRNA from 1 species